rnacentral:lncRNA from 1 species
GAGUAAUAACAAAGCAAGCCACAUAAAAGAGGAGCUUGUUUGUGCUGAGAACAAUAGUAUGAAAAGCAAGCUCAUGAUCUUGUUGAUACUAGUGUUGAUGGAAGCAAGAUAGAAAGAUGAGUUAGGUGAAGCAACCACUGAGGCUGCCAAUAUGUGUGACAUGGAGGUCACAAGGCAAGGGAAAGGGAAGAAACCUACAGAGGUAGUGGUAGAAGAUGAAGGGAAGGAACUAAUUGAACAUAAAGAUGAGGAGAAGGGAGCAGGUGAUAGUGAUAGUAAUUCAUCAGUGACUCAGUUACUCUUAGUGAACAUUCAUUUGCAUUAAAACAUUGCUUACUAAUGACAACAUUAACUCAGUAAUAGAUCAUUUCGUUACAUAUUCCUUACAAUAUCCCCUGCAUAUUCAACCCAUUAUAUGAUGCUAGUUCCCAAAAUAUUCAACUAGGAUCCCACAAACACAGAAACCCCUGCAUAUAACUAUCCAAACCCCUUAAAAACCAUCAUACAACCAUGGAAAACCAUUUAAGGAGACCUUGGAUUCUGCAUUUCAACCUAAAGCCAAACAACCACCACCUGCAACCAACCAAGAAGCCAAUAUACACUAGGCCAGACAAUUCCCAUUUAUUUUGUGGC